AAUUAAUUGUCCUCAAUUCUUGGUUAGGAGAACGUUUGUUGCCAAGGAGCUUGCAAAUAAAGCAUUUAAUUGAUACUGAUUAAAAGGAAGGACAAACGCGGUGACUCCUGGGGCUUGCAGCUAUAUGGAGUACUAGUGAAUUGGAUAGUAUGAAUUUACUUGGAAAAAUCACCAGAGUGAUAGGAGGCCGUCUUUUGACAACUCCAGGACCGGUUAGAUCACCUGUACAGCAGGUUGUGUCACAACCCUUUGUUUCUAUUGGACUUAAUCAUCAAGUUGGAAUACAUUCUAAGGGAUUAUUUACAUGUCGGCAAGGUGGUCUGAUUCCAUGUACUACAUCUCACAGCAUCAACAACAGCAACAUUCAAACAUUAAGAGCAACAACAUUACUUACCUUAAAUAACACCAACUUACAAUUCACACGAUCCUACAAAGUCAAAACAGUGUUGAAUCUUCGAUGUCCUGGAUGUUAUUAUAUUCGCCGACAUGGAAGAUUGUUUGUUGAGUGUAAAGACAAACCUAGACACAAGCAAAUGGCAAGAAUAAGUAAGAAAGAUUUAAUGGUAGAUGAUACCUCAAAAGGAAAUGUUAGGAGAGCAUGCUGGUGGAAUUUCCAGAAGGAAAGAUGGUACAAAAAGGGUCGCACUUCUUAUGUCAAGACUGGAUAUUAUCAUCAAGGCCUUGGUACAGAAUUUUGAAAAACCAUGAGAUACGUGUAUAUUAGAAUACAGUUACUGUGCUAAUAAUAAUAAAUUUACAUGUGAAAAUCUUAAUUAUGUGAGUGAAUAAAAUCUGAGUCUUCA